CAGUCGCCGCGGUAAUACGAAGGGGGCUAGCGUCGCUCGGAAUGACUGGGCGUAAAGGGCGCGUAGGCGGCUUGGUAAGUUAGAGGUGAAAGCCUGGAGCUCAACUCCAGAAUUGCCUUUAAGACUGCCGAGCUAGCAGGUGAGAGAGGUAAGUGGAAUUCCGAGUGUAGAGGUGAAAUUCGUAGAUAUUCGGAAGAACACCAGUGGCGAAGGCGGCUUACUGGCUCAUACUGGACGCUGAGGUGCGAAAGCGUGGGGAGCAAACAGGAUUAGAUACCCCAGUAGUCCCUGUCUCUUAUAU
rnacentral:rRNA from 1 species